rnacentral:rRNA from 1 species
GAUGAACGCUAGCGGCAGGCCUAACACAUGCAAGUCGAGGGGUAGAAGGAGCUUGCUCCUUUGAGACCGGCGCACGGGUGCGUAACGCGUAUGCAAUCUACCUUGUACAGGUGAAUAGCCCAUAGAAAUUUGGAUUAAUGCCCCAUAGUAUAUAACCUUCGCAUGUUGGUUAUAUUAAAGUUCCAACGGUACAAGAUGAGCCUGCGUCCCAUUAGUUAGUUGGUUAGGUAACGGCUUACCAAGACGAUGCUGGGUAGGGGUCCUGCGAGGGAGCGCCCCCACACUGGUACUGAGACACGGACCAGAGUCCUACGGGAGGCAGCAGUGUGGAAUAUUGAGCACUGGUCGCAAGACUGAGCCAGCCAUGCCGCGUGCAGGAAGACGGUCCUAUGGAUUGUAAACUGCUUUUAUACAGGAAGAAACCCUCCCACGUGUGGGAGCUUGACGGUACUGUAGGAAUAAGGAUCGGCUAACUCCGUG